rnacentral:rRNA from 1 species
CAGCCGCCGCGGGAAUACGUAGGUGGCAAGCGUUGUCCGGAAUUAUUGGGCGUAAAGGGCUCGCAGGCGGUUUCUUAAGUCUGAUGUGAAAGCCCCCGGCUCAACCGGGGAGGGUCAUUGGAAACUGGGAAACUUGAGUGCAGAAGAGGAGAGUGGAAUUCCACGUGUAGCGGUGAAAUGCGUAGAGAUGUGGAGGAACACCAGUGGCGAAGGCGACUCUCUGGUCUGUAACUGACGCUGAGGAGCGAAAGCGUGGGGAUCAAACAGGAUUAGAUACCCGCGUAGUCCCUGUCUCUUAUAC